rnacentral:rRNA from 1 species
GAUGAACGCUGGCGGCGUGCCUAAUACAUGCAAGUCGAGCGAACAGACGAGAGUGCUUGCACUCUCUGACGUUAGCGGCGGACGGGUGAGUCACACGUGGGUAACCUACCUAUAAGACUGGGAUAACUUCGGGAAACCGGAGCUAAUACCGGAUAAUAUUUAGCUUCGCAUGAAGCAAUAGUGAAAGACGGUUCUGCUGUCACUUAUAGAUGGACCCGCGGUGUAUUAGCUAGUUGGUGAGGUAACGGCUCACCAAGGCAACGAUACAUAGCCGACCUGAGAGGGUGAUCGGCCACAUUGGAACUGAGACACGGCCCAGACUCCUACGGGAGGCAGCAGUAGGGAAUCUUCCGCAAUGGACGAAAGUCUGACGGAGCAAUGCCGCGUGAGUGAAGAAGGUUUUCGGAUCGUAAAACUCUGUUGUAAGGGAAGAACAAGUACGUUAGUAACUGAACGUACCUUGACGGUACCUUACCAGAAAGCCACGGCUAACUACGUG